rnacentral:rRNA from 1 species
UACGGAGGGUGCAAGCGUUAAUCGGAAUUACUGGGCGUAAAGCGUGCGCAGGCGGCUUGUUAAGUCCGUUGUGAAAGCCCCGAGCUCAACUUGGGAAUUGCAGUGGAUACUGGCAGGCUGGAGUACGGUAGAGGAAGGUGGAAUUCCCGGUGUAGCAGUGAAAUGCGUAGAUAUCGGGAGGAACACCAGUGGCGAAGGCGGCCUUCUGGACCAGUACUGACGCUCAUGCACGAAAGCGUGGGGAGCAAACAGG